AGCUUUGUGGCUCUAACGAAAGCGAAGCCGCUCAAAAGCUUCCCACUUCUCUCCUCGGUGGCCUUGCCGGAGUCCUUACGAAGCCCUGUUUUGGUAUUCCGAAUACUAUCGAAACUUCGGUGGUCUGUGUCGUCGUUCCCUCUCUUGCUUUCGUUGUUGGAAGUUGUGUUGGUAAGAUUUUUUGAACUUUUUGUAUUAAUCGUAUCAUUGACUGUUGUGGUCUGCUUUACUAUGUUUAUGUAUUAACUUCACUCCUGCAAGUUAUUCGUUUUUAGGGUUUUUGUCAUUAUGGAUUUGUGUUUGUUUUGUGUCCGUGAUGUUGAUUUUUUUGUAGGUGAUGGUACCUUUACCGUUGUUUCAGUUUGAACUUGUCGGGUUUAGUGUAACCAGGUUUUCCUUUGGGGUUAACGUCAGGCAAGUUUUUGAUUGCAGAACAGGUGUUGUGUUUAUGUGGAUACGUGGUUAGUGGGUUGUGUAUACGUGCUUUCCUGGUUUGUAAUUUAGUAAGCCAAUUAACGUCAAUGUCAUAUUAUAUAUGAGUUAUGUUUCUUUCAAAAAAAAUUUUCCGGUUGGUUUAUUGGUUGUUUAAGUCCGUCAUGGUUGAAAGAACACAGUUUGUAUUUUGGUUUAUGUGUGAUGAGGCAAAGUGAGCA
rnacentral:lncRNA from 1 species